rnacentral:rRNA from 1 species
UACGAAGGGGGCUAGCGUUGUUCGGAAUCACUGGGCGUAAAGGGCGCGUAGGCGGGCUCUUAAGUCGAGGGUGAAAUCCUGUGGCUCAACCACAGAACAGCCUUCGAUACUGGGAGCCUCGAGUUCGAGAGAGGUUGGUGGAACUGCGAGUGUAGAGGUGAAAUUCGUAGAUAUUCGCAAGAACACCAGUGGCGAAGGCGGCCAACUGGCUCGAUACUGACGCUGAGGCGCGAAAGCGUGGGGAGCAAACAGG